UACGUAGGUCCCGAGCGUUGUCCGGAUUUAUUGGGCGUAAAGGGCGUGUAGGCGGGGAAGCAAGUCAGAUGUGAAAACCACGGGCUCAACCUGUGGCCUGCAUUUGAAACUGUUUUUCUUGAGUGCUGGAGAGGCAAUCGGAAUUCCGUGUGUAGCGGUGAAAUGCGUAGAUAUACGGAGGAACACCAGUGGCGAAGGCGGAUUGCUGGACAGUAACUGACGCUGAGGCGCGAAAGCGUGGGGAGCAAACAGG
rnacentral:rRNA from 1 species